UGGUGGAGUGAUUUGUCUGGUUAAUUCCGUUAACGAACGAGACCUCAACCUAUUAAAUAGUUGCUCAAACCGUCUACCGGGUGAAGCCCGUGAGCGGCGCGGUGGCCUUGGUCGCUGUGUCCUCGCGGGUGGAUCCUUGAUGAGUUUGUGGUAGCUUCUUAGAGGGACUACUAGGGUCUACCUAGUGGAAGUGAGGCAAUAACA
rnacentral:rRNA from 1 species